rnacentral:rRNA from 1 species
UACGUAGGGAGCGAGCGUUGUCCGAAUUUACUGGGCGUAAAGCGCGCGUAGGCGGGCUAAUAAGUUGUGGGUGAAAUGCCGAGGCUCAACCUCGGCGCUGCCUGCAAGACUGUUGGUCUUGAGGUAUGGAGGGGAAAGUGGAAUUCCUGGUGUAGCGGAGAAAUGCGUAGAUAUCCGGAGGAACACCGAUGGCGAAGGCAGCUUUCUGGCCAUAUCCUGACGCUGAGGUGCGAAAGCUAGGGGAGCGAACGGGAUUAGAUACCCCGGUAGUCCUAGCCGUAAACGAUGGAUACUAGGUGUUAGAGGUAUCGACCCCUCUAGUGCCGUAGCUAACGCAUUAAGUAUCCCGCCUGGGGAGUACGGUCGCAAGACUGAA